GCUCGGCGGCGACGGGAAGCAGCUGCGGCGGGAGCUGUGGCGACUGGAGCAACCCAUCGCCGGCAUCACUCUCCCACGACGGUGGGCUAGUAAGCCCUUCCUCCUCUUCUUGACCCCCUUCUCAUCCCCUUUAUUCCUAGGGUUCAUAGAUUCUUGAUUUGAGAAAAUUGGUGAUACGGGGUGAUUUUUGACUUCCUUCGAUGAUGCAAAAGCAGUUGUGCUUUGAGUUGGUUGCUGUGGUAUCUGUGAUGCUACCUUUGAUGUCCUUGACAUGUCUAAUUGAAGGAGCUGACUGUUAAAAAAAAUUGAAUGAGCUGUGUGUUUUUCUCAGGCGAAUUGGGUUAGUCAUGGGUUCCCAGGGGCAUUGCUCCAUGUUGCUCGAUUAGUCACUGUCUGUUGCAUGCUCAACCAGCUGUUUAGUGUCUGUUUUCCUUUUUUUUAGAGGAAUUAGGGGUAUGAACUGAUUGAAUAGGCCAAUGUGCAUGCACCAAAAGAUUCAACCUUUCUUUUUCUUGUUCAAGCUUUGAUUUGAACUAUUUUACAGGAGAGAUUAUUUGCUUCACUUGAACAUCAAGUAUUGUUCGUAUCAAAAUAAGGGUGUCUUUGAACUCUAUAAAUUAUUGGGAAGAUACUAGACAUAUUUACACAUAUUAUUAGACUGAUAGAUGGGUGGGUUCCUUGGACAAGCAACUAAUGAACAAGACUUGUAUUCAGAUUUUUCAGUUCUGUCUAUUUAUUUAUUUAUUUUCCUCAAACGCCCCUAAGACGGGGCUGCCACCUCGUCUUGCAGCAUGACUUCAUCGAGGGCGGCGCCGUUACCACUCGAUGAGCUCUUCCUCUGUUUCGUGCUCCUCAAUUUUUAUUUUUCUUCAUGCUCCGGUCCUCAGUUUCUUGGGUUCUUCUUGCUCUGGUUCGCAGUUUCUUUAUCAUAUCCAGCAACCAAUAUCAUUAGACAAUAGGCCUUUUUGGUAAAGUUCCAGAGCUCGAUAACAAGACUUUUCAAAUCUAAAAAAUGUUAUGUAUACCCUAUAUUUUUGCCAUGUGAUUCAGAGUAUCAAUGAUUGUGCCCAGAUUGCACUAUUAUUCUCGCUUUGCAUUGCUUAGCUAGUUGUUCAAAAAUUCAUUUUUCUUCUUAGCAUUGACCAAGAGAAAUGAAAGAUAAAAAGAACAAUUUCUAAGCUAACAAGGAGAGAAAAUAGGUUACCGUUGCAUUCUUUCAACUUCCAGUUACUUUCUUUCAUCUAACUUACUGCAGAUCAACGGUUCUUUCUUUUAUGUGAGAAGUCCAUGACAUGCUUAUUUACCAUGUUUACUUGUGCUGAUGUCUAAAUUAUUCAUUGCAAUUAUACUUAUGAUGUACUGCUAGCAAUCUUUAAUGCUGUAUCUAUGCAGGAAUGAAGAGCUCAUGUAUAAGUGGCCAUGUUUGUGGAGGAAUUCAUGGCCGACAUCACCAACAAUGAACGGACACGUCCUCUCAAGUUUUGCUAGAAACCACUUUUGGACGCCGAUAGGACAGUGAUUGAGGCGCUGCGCUCUAACUUGACACCGUGGGGUCGUCUUCGACUUAAAAUCUGAUGAAGCAUGAGCGUUUGGUGUCGUUGUGGCGGCUGCUAGCAAGUGCGCAAGCAGAUAAGUCAGCCACGACUCUUCCGUUGAUCAGUCGAAUCUGGUGUGAUUGAUGAACUCUAAAUCCAGCCUGUGUUUUUGCUUGAUGAAACAACGCAUAUAUAUUGUAUGAUCUGAUGCUAUUGUUAACUGCUACUGUGAUGAGCUAGAUUUGACAGUUUAGUUAGCUGCUACUGUGUUGAGCUAGUGUCUUAUAGUUUCACUGCAUUUUGUAGUGAGAAGUGUUGCUUAUGGGAGGGAGUAACCGAACAGAAUUUAAGACGAAGGGAUUUGUGGGGAAGGUGUUGGCAGGGAUUGGGUGACAUGAGCGGAUUCACCCAAUCCCUGCAGAGGUUGGUUCCUCACAGGGAAGGAAACCCCAACAACCGAACGAAGCCUUAAGAAGAAAGGAAACAAAAAAAUAAGAAAUUUGCACAUAAUUUAUGCAAAGAUUGCAUUUUUUAUAAUAUGCAAGAUUAAGUAUAUAAUAGUAGAAUUCUCACAAAAAAGAAAGUUUACUAAGAAGGAAUGAAUUAGUGACAUUGGUAUUACCAUUAAAAAAAGAAAAUGAAACAAAUACUAAAUCAAAAACUAAAUAAUGAAGUUUUGUAAGAAAAAAUGAAUUAGUGGUUUUGGUAUUACUCUUCAGAAAAAUAUGAAAUAACUACUAAAACAAAAUCAAAAUAAUGAAGUUUUCUAAGUAAGAAUUAAUUAGUUGCAUUGAUAUUACCCUUUAAGAAUAAGGAAUUAUAAAUUAAUCAAACAAUAACAAAAUUUACACACAAUAUGUACAAGAAAUUGUGCUUUCAAUAAUAUGCAAGAAUGUGCAUAUGGUAGUGGAAUUUUCACAGAAAAUACAAUUAUAAUGAAACUUCACUAUUUUAGUAGUAUGUAAGAAAUAAGCACAUAAUAGUGCGUUUUUCACAAAAUUACACUUUAUACACAUAUUAUAAAUUACUACGUGUGUAUAUAUUUUAUAUUCACCCAACAUCCAAAAUAUACCCAUAAAAACCGACAAAAAACAGAAGCAAAAACGCACACAAAUAACCUAAUAAGAAAACACGUAAGACUUCAGCCCAACAAGAAAUUUACUGACCCAAGAUAGGCGUCAAUAAAAAACGUCCAGCCCAAUAAAGCACACACAACAGGAAAA
rnacentral:lncRNA from 1 species